CUGGGAAGUCGUCCGGCUACACAGAAGAGCAGGAAGAUGUUCAAAAGGCCAUUUAGCGGAGAGGCCACUUGGGUGACUCAAUUGAGCCAAGUGAUUUGUCACAGACCUGAGAGCAGUCAGAACCUGAGCGUCAUCUUUGGAGUUUUCACACAAACUCUCCAGCGCCUUCAUGGCCGUUUCCUGCUGUUCAUUCUGUCACAGAGGAACAAACAUCCUCAUCAGUGUAAAUACCACCACCCACCGGUCAUAUUCAUCUCAAUCACACGGUCCUCUGCACAGGCGCCCUCACCAACCAGGAUGACUGCAGUGACAAGGACGUGAUCUCUCACCGGCUUCCCACCCGCAAACUGUGCCAACUGGUAAACUGUUACAGGUCCAGUGUGUAACAUUUCGGUGGAUCUAUUGUCCGAAAUGGAAUAUAAUAUCCACGGGUAUGUUUUUAUUAGUGUAUAAUAACCUGAAUAUAGGAAUCAUUGUGUUUUUGUUGAGCCAUGAGCCGUUUUUAUCUACAGACGGAGCGGGUCCUCUUCUACUGUGUCCGCCCUGUUGAACUGCCAUGUUUCUACAGUAACCCAGCAUGGACCAACUAAACACGCCUUUCACGGCAAACACAGCUUCUCCUUGUUUUUCAGUUUGUUGCAAUCAGCAACUUCACCGCUACAUGCCACUAAAUCCUACAUACUGAUCCUUUAAAUUUUCUGUUCAAGCUGCAAGUACCACUGUUGAGAACUAAACCCACGUUUUUUAACCCCAUAACAUCAUAACAAUACCAUAAAGGUGGGAAAUGUGACCAUAGCGGACCAAACUAAUUAUUUUCCCAUAUAUUCCACACAUUCUACAACUGGUGUGCAGAACUGAGUCAUCUGUCCUGUGAUGCGUCCUACCUCCAAA